UAGGGAAUCUUCCACAAUGGACGCAAGUCUGAUGGAGCAACGCCGCGUGAGUGAAGAAGGUUUUCGGAUCGUAAAGCUCUGUUGUUGGUGAAGAAGGAUAGAGGUAGUAACUGGCCUUUAUUUGACGGUAAUCAACCAGAAAGUCACGGCUAACUACGUGCCAGCAGUCGCGGUAAUACGUAGGUGGCAAGCGUUGUCCGGAUUUAUUGGGCGUAAAGCGAGCGCAGGCGGAAGAAUAAGUCUGAUGUGAAAGCCCUCGGCUUAACCGAGGAACUGCAUCGGAAACUGUUUUUCUUGAGUGCAGAAGAGGAGAGUGGAAUUCCAUGUGUAGCGGUGGAAUGCGUAGAUAUAUGGAAGAACACCAGUGGCGAAGGCGACUCUCUGGUCUGCAACUGACGCUGAGGCUCGAAAGCAUGGGUAGCGAACAGG
rnacentral:rRNA from 1 species